rnacentral:rRNA from 1 species
GGCUCAGAACGAACGCUGGCGGCGUGCCUAACACAUGCAAGUCGAGCGCGAACGACCCCUUCGGGGGACUAGUAGAGCGGCGGACGGGUGAGUAAUACAUGGAUAAUCUCCCUUCGAGCCCGGGAUAACACUGCGAAAGCGGUGCUAAUACCGGAUAAGACCACGAGGCCCAGGCCUUGCGGGAAAAGGUGGCUUUGUUUUCGGAUGAGGCUAUCACUUGAUGAUGAGUCCAUGGCCUAUCAGCUUGUUGGCGAGGUAACGGCUCACCAAGGCAAUGACGGGUAGCUGGUCUGAGAGGACGACCAGCCACACUGGGACUGAGACACGGCCCAGACUCCUACGGGAGGCAGCAGUGGGGAAUAUUGGGCAAUGGGCGAAAGCCUGACCCAGCGACGCCGUGUGGGUGAUGAAGGCCUUCGGGUUGUAAAGCCCUGUUGGGUGGAAAGAAGGGCUCAGGGACGAAUAAUCCUUGAGCUUUGACGGUACCACCAGAGGAAGCACCGGCUAACUCCGUGCCAGCAGCCGCGGUAAUACGGAGGGUGCAAGCGUUGUUCGGAAUUACUGGGCGUAAAGGGCGCGUAGGUGGUUGUGUAAGUCAGAUGUGAAAUCCCGAGGCUCAACUUCGGAACUGCAUCUGAUACUGCAUGACUCGAGUGCAGCAGAGGGAAACGGAAUUCCUGGUGUAGAGGUGAAAUUCGUAGAUAUCAGGAGGAACACCGGUGGCGAAGGCGGUUUCCUGGGCUGACACUGACACUGAGGCGCGAAAGCGUGGGUAGCAAACAGGAUUAGAUACCCUGGUAGUCCACGCUGUAAACGGUGAAUACUGGGUGUGGGAGGUGUAAUGCCUUCUGUGCCGAAGCAAACGCGUUAAGUAUUCCGCCUGGG